rnacentral:rRNA from 2 species
GUUGACCUCGGAUCGGGUAGGGAUACCCGCUGAACUUAAGCAUAU